GUAGGUGAACCUGCGGAAGGAUCAUUAACACGUGAUACUCACGUAUUAACCAAACGCGAAAUGUUGUUAAGCCUGUUAUUGGAUAUGAGCCGACUGUUAGGGAAUGGUGUGAUUAGGGUCUAACUAACGGUCUUAGCGUACUCGAUACGCGGUUCAUUCCAGUAAUAGUAGAUGAAUUUCGGCUGCUUAUUAAGCCUGCACCUUGGCUUGCAGUCGAAGUGACCUUAUUACCUACCCAUUAUUUAUACUU
rnacentral:misc_RNA from 1 species